rnacentral:lncRNA from 1 species
UACCAAGAUUGUGUCUCAGAAAACAAAUCCUGGUUGCUGGGAUUAAAGGUAUGUGCCACCAUUUCUAGCUUAAAACUGCAUACAUUUUUAAAGAUUGUACAUGUAUAUAAAUAUUUAAGCUGCAAUAAUUUUCUGUAUCUUGCCUUCACAGUGUAAUCAUCCUUCAACUCUACUGCAAGAAAAAUAGUUCGGAGAUUUUUGGAGUGUGUGCUUAUACUUCACAGUUCUUACUCUUCACACACACAAAUAUGUUUUCACAUGCCUGUCCAGAAGGAAAAGCACUUCAGGCAGAAACAUUGUUUAGACAAAGAAAAUUAUAAAGAAGAGCUCCCUCUAAUAUGGAAUUUAGAAACUUGAAGAAAAGUG